UGAAAUGGGGCUUCACCUGUACUUGGGCAU
rnacentral:piRNA from 1 species